rnacentral:rRNA from 1 species
AUUGAACGCUGGCGGCAGGCCUAACACAUGCAAGUCGAACGAGUGGCGGACGGGUGAGUAAUGUCUGGGAAACUGCCUGAUGGAGGGGGAUAACUACUGGAAACGGUAGCUAAUACCGCAUACCAGCGGAUGUGCCCAGAUGGGAUUAGCUAGUAGGUGGGGUAAAGGCUAACCUAGGCGACGAUCCCUAGCAGGUCUGAGAGGAUGACCAGCCACACUGGAACUGAGACCCGGUCCAGACUCCUACGGGCGGCAGCAGUGGGGAAUAUUACACAAUGGGCGCAAGCCUGAUGCAGCCAUGCCGCGUGUGUGAAGAAGGCCUUCGGGUUGUAAAGCUCUUUCAGCGGGGAGGCGUUACCCACAGAGGAAGCACCGGCUAACUCCGUGCCAGCAGCCGCGGUAAUUC